AUACUAGAAAGCACUUGCUAAUAACCCAGGAAUCAAAGGCCCAUUAGAUUCGCCCAGGCUAAUGCUCACCCCUUUAAGCCAUGCUUGGAGAAACUAAUGGAAUUGGGAAUUCAGAAUUCAGGCUUCUAUAGUGUCAGCCACAUGGGAGCUUUCCAGAACACAACAAACAUUACUGCUCGAGAGGCCCUGAGGUUGUGCCAAUGAUAUGUUCGCCUGGGAUCCUUUCUGGGCUGGGACUACCACCACCAAUCUUCAUGUGACUUUAGAGUGUCAGCUCACAUUUGUGACCUGGAACUUUUAAGGGAUGCUGAGCUCACACAGAGGCAGAGAGCUGAGCAGGAGAGCAGAAGCCCCUCCUCCCUCCCGUCUAGAGCAUGCUCAAAGGUCAGAGGACUCCGGAGUGCACUGUCGCCAAGACUGGGGAGAUGGAGUCUGGCAUAUGGAGGUCUCACUAUGUUGACUGGACUUGAAUUGCUGGGCUCAAGUGACCGUCUUGCCUCAGUCUUCAGAGUAGCUGGCACUACAGCUGCAUGCUUUCGUGCCCAGCAAGAAAUUCUUCACAGUUACAUCAUUUAACCUUCUUAAGAGCUGCAGGAGGUAGGAAUUGUUGCCCCCUGUACAGCUGAGAAAACGGAGAUUCCAGGAAGUAAAUCGUCUUGUUCCAGGUUUAGUAAGCAACAGAGCUGAGAUUCCAACCCAGGUAUAGCAAAGUCUGAGGCCACAGCUGGGUGAGUCCUCGGGACUACCAGGGACCCACCCCGCUCAGCACACUCGCUCCAUCUGAGGGGGCUCCAUGUUUACACACACACACACACACACACACACACACACACCCUCUCAUCUGAUUCUUACAGCCAGCCUGGGUGACAGACACAAGAGCGUCUUGCCCCUUUGUCACACAGCCGGGCAGUGUGGGAUGAGGGCUGAGGGCGGGCUUGGAGGACUAGUUGGGAAGUGCCUGAGCUUGGCCUUGUGAUUCUGAGGCCGGUGCUCUCCUAUCCAGCCCUGGAGACUCCUGCAGAUGGGAAGUGCCUCAGAGUGUGGGGGCUUGGCCGCCAGGGUGUCUGCCUGGUGAGUGUACGUGUAGAGGCUCUCCUGCUUCCAGAGCCUUCCCUGAGUCGGGGCAUGAGUGUGUGUGUGUGUGUGUGUGUGUGUGUGUGUGUGUGUGGAGGAGCUUAGGACAUAUCUGAGCUGGGCGUCCCCUUCCUCCUUGGCAUUUUCACAUGGGUGAAGAAUGAACAUCAAUUCUUGUAGGACAGGAGUGAUGCAUGAUUCUCCCCAUUUACAAAUGAGAAAACAGGCAUGGAAAGCAGAAGGAAAUAAAACCCUGGUUUCUGGAUAGGACAAGAACUUGGAUCCUAGGGCCAACAUCUGGCGCCUGUCCUCACAGCCUCUUACUGAACUGAGAAAACGUCACUGGGAUGUUGGCCCUGGUCUGUGGCGACUGGGCUCUGUGAGUGUUUGCAAGUCUGUGCUUUGGGGGGUGCAAGAGCCGGAGCACCAUGCUGAGCUAGAUCAUGUGCCAAUGAAUCCUCUGGUAUCUAGAAAAGCAUCUGAUGUAAAAGAUUUUAUUGCUCAUUUUCCUGUAUUAUAAAAAUCUUUUGAGCAUGCAC